CCCCCAUGCCCAUCAAAUACACCAUAGAAAGAAACAGAUUCCUCCCUAAGUAAAUUGUAACCAAAUUUCUUUGCCAAGUCACUAAUGCAAAUGUGUGUGUCCUCCAUAUAAAGCCNGACCACCAAUGUCAGACCAUUCUCCUGACCGAAGGACAGGAAUAAAACUUGUUGCAAGAUUCUGUUUCCUCUCCAGAGUCACUCGAUCCUCACAGAU
rnacentral:misc_RNA from 1 species